GAUGAACGCUAGCGGCAGGCUUAAUACAUGCAAGUCGAGGGGCAGCAGGUCCCGCAGCAAUGCGGGAUGCUGGCGACCGGCAAACGGGUGCGGAACACGUACAGAACCUUCCUUUAAGUGGGGAAUAGCCCGGGGAAACCCGGAUUAAUACCCCGUAACAUAAUGAAGUGGCAUCACUUUAUUAUUAUAGCAGCAAUGCGCUUGAAGAUGGCUGUGCGGCUGAUUAGGUAGUUGGCGGGGUAACGGCCCACCAAGCCUACGAUCAGUAACUGGUGUGAGAGCACGACCAGUCACACGGGCACUGAGACACGGGCCCGACUCCUACGGGAGGCAGCAGUAAGGAAUAUUAGGCAAUGGACGCAAGUCUGACCCAGCCAUGCCGCGUGGAGGGUGAAGGUCCUCUGGAUUGUAAACUUCUUUUAUCUGGGAAGAAAUCUAUUUUUUCUAAAGUAGUUGACGGUACCAGAUGAAUAAGCACCGGCUAACUCCGUGCCAGCAGCCGCCGCAG
rnacentral:rRNA from 1 species